UCCCUGCUAACUCAGCUAGUGAAGAAUCUGCCUGAAACGCAGGAGACCUGGGUUCGAUUCCUGGGUUGGGAA
rnacentral:tRNA from 1 species